GACGAACGCUGGCGGCGUGCUUAACAUAUGCAAGUCGAACGGAAAGGCCCCCUUGUGGGGUACUCGAGUGGCGAACGGGUGAGUAACACGUGAGUAACCUACCCUUGACUUUGGGAUAACUUCAGGAAACUGGGGCUAAUACCGGAUAGGAGCUCCUGCUGCAUGGUGGGGGUUGGAAAGUUUCGGCGGUUGGGGAUGGACUCGCGGCCUAUCAGCUUGUUGGUGGGGUAGUGGCUCACCAAGGCUUUGACGGGUAGCCGGCCUGAGAGGGUGACCGGCCACAUUGGGACUGAGAUACGGCCCAGACUCCUACGGGAGGCAGCAGUGGGGAAUAUUGCACAAUGGGCGGAAGCCUGAUGCAGCAACGCCGCGUGCGGGAUGACGGCCUUCGGGUUGUAAACCGCUUUCGCCUGUGACGAAGCGUGAGUGACGGUAAUGGGUAAAGAAGCACCGGCUAACUACGUG
rnacentral:rRNA from 1 species